GGCGGCAUGGCCAAGUGGUAAGGCAGGGGACUGCAAAUCCUUUAUCCCCAGUUCAAAUCCGGGUGUCGCCU
rnacentral:tRNA from 14 species